rnacentral:lncRNA from 1 species
AUAGAAUGUAAAAACAAAAUAGAAAAUUAGCUUGCUGUUGUGCUUAGGAGUAACCACAGGGGUCCAGGAGUAACCACAGGGGUCCAGGAAUAGGUAAAUAAAAAGCAUUUUUUUUUCUGGGUUACCCAGCCAUAACUCCCUUCCCAUGCUGAGAGGGGUGAGAAAGUUUGGCCAUCUAUAAUUCUGUCUGCCUCCUACACGGAUCCUUUUAACUUUUGGGGGAUUCAUCAUCUGCCCCAUAUCAUCCCCACACCAAGAUGUCAUCACUAUUUUUUCCUAGUUAGGUAGAGUCUGGGUUCAUACAGUGGUCUUUCAACUUAACCACAGAUCUGGCCAAUGGGA